rnacentral:rRNA from 1 species
UACGUAGGGUGCAAGCGUUGUCCGGAAUUAUUGGGCGUAAAGGGCUCGUAGGCGGUUUGUCGCGUCGGGAGUGAAAACUCAGGGCUUAACCCUGAGCCUGCUUCCGAUACGGGCAGACUAGAGGUAGGCAGGGGAGAGCGGAACUCCUGGUGUAGCGGUGGAAUGCGCAGAUAUCAGGAAGAACACCGGUGGCGAAGGCGGCUCUCUGGGCCUUACCUGACGCUGAGGAGCGAAAGCGUGGGGAGCGAACAGG